UUCCGGUUGAUCCUGCCGGACCUGACUGCUAUCGGAUUGAUACUAAGCCAUGCGAGUCUUUGCAGUAAUGCAAGGCAUACGGCUCAGUAACACGUAGUCAACUUACCCUAUGGACGAGGAUAAUCUCGGGAAACUGAGCAUAAUACUCGAUAGAUCAUAAUGCCUGGAAUGGUUUAUGGUUGAAAUGAUUCGUCGCCAUAGGAUGGGACUGCGGCCUAUCAGCUUGUUGGUGAGGUAAUGGCCCACCAAGGCGAUUACAGGUACGGGCUCUGAGAGGAGAAGCCCGGAGAUGGGUACUGAGACAAGGACCCAGGCCCUAUGGGGCGCAGCAGGCGAGAAAACUUUGCAAUGUGCGAAAGCACGACAAGGUUAAUCCGAGUGAUUUCUGCUAAAGAAAUCUUUUGCAAGUCAUAAAACCACUAGUGAAUAAGGGGUGGGCAAGUUCUGGUGUCAGCCGCCGCGGUAAAACCAGCACCUCAAGUGGUCAGGAGGAUUAUUGGGCCUAAAGCAUCCGUAGCCGGCUCUGUAAGUUUUCGGUUAAAUCCAUGUGCUCAACGCAUGGGCUGCCGAAAAUACUGCAUAGCUAGGGAGUGGGAGAGGUAGACGGUACUCGGUAGGAAGGGGUAAAAUCCUUUGAUCUAUCGAUGACCACCUGUGGCGAAGGCGGUCUACCAGAACACGUUCGACGGUGAGGGAUGAAAGCUGGGGGAGCAAACCGGAUUAGAUACCCGGGUAGUCCCAGCUGUAAACGAUGCAGACUCGAUGAUGCAUUGGCAUAUAGCCAGUGCAGUGUCGCAGGGAAGCCGUUAAGUCUGCCGCCUGGGAAGUACGUACGCAAGUAUGAAACUUAAAGGAAUUGGCGGGGGAGCACCACAAGGGGUGAAGCCUGCGGUUCAAUUGGAUUCAACGCCGGG
rnacentral:rRNA from 2 species